rnacentral:rRNA from 1 species
GUGACGGCGUGCCUUUUGAAGAAUGAGCCUGCGAGUUAGUGUUACGUCGCGAGGUUAACCCGUGUGGGGAAGCCGUAGCGAAAGCGAGUCUGAAUAGGGCGUUGCAGUGGCGUGAUCUAGACCCGAAGCGAAGUGAUCUACCCAUGGCCAGGUUGAAGCGACGGUAAGACGUCGUGGAGGACCGAACCCACUUCAGUUGAAAAUGGAGGGGAUGAGCUGUGGGUAGGGGUGAAAGGCCAAUCAAACUUCGUGAUAGCUGGUUCUCCCCGAAAUGCAUUUAGGUGCAGCGUUGCGUGUUUCUUACCGGAGGUAGAGCUACUGGAUGGCUAAUGGGCCCUACAAGGUUACUGACGUCAGCCAAACUCCGAAUGCCGGUAAGUGAGAGCGCAGCAGUGAGACUGUGGGGGAUAAGCUUCAUAGUCGAGAGGGAAACAGCCCAGACCACCAACUAAGGCCCCUAAGCGUGUGCUAAGUGGGAAAGGAUGUGGAGUUGCGAAGACAACCAGGAGGUUGGCUUAGAAGCAGCCAUCCUUAAAAGAGUGCGUAAUAGCUCACUGGUCAAGUGAUUCCGCGCCGACAAUGUAGCGGGGCUCAAGUACACCGCCGAAGUUGUGGAUUUCAGACAUUAGCCAAGCCCUUGUGGUUCAGGCGUCUGGAGUGGUAGGGGAGCGUCGUGUGGGCAGUGAAGUCGCGGUGGAAACCAGCGGUGGAGCCUACACGAGUGAGAAUGCAGGCAUGAGUAGCGAAAGACGGGUGAGAAACCCGUCCGCCGGAUGAUCAAGGGUUCCAGGGUCAAGCUAAUCUGCCCUGGGUAAGUCGGGACCUAAGGCGAGGCCGACAGGCGUAGUCGAUGGACAACGGGUUGAUAUUCCCGUACCGGCGAAAAACCGCCCAUGCUGAACAGGGGAUACUAACCGCCCGAAACCUGCCCUAGCACCCUUUGGGGUGUGUGGGUUUUGGUGGAGCGCGGGACCUGAUCCUGGGAGGCAAGCGUAUUAACAGGUGUGACGCAGGAAGGUAGCCGAGCCGGGCGAUGGUUGUCCCGGUCUAAGGAUGUAGGGCGAACGGUAGGCAAAUCCGCCGUUCAUGAUGCCUGAGAUCUGACGGGACCCCCGUAUGGGGGGAUUCGGUGAUCCUAUGCUGCCGAGAAAAGCAUCGACGCGAGGUUUUAGCCGCCCGUACCCCAAACCGACACAGGUGAUCAGGUAGAGAAUACUAAGGCGAUCGAGAGAAUUAUGGUUAAGGAACUCGGCAAAAUGCCCCCGUAACUUCGGGAGAAGGGGGGCCCCAACCUUGAACACCACUUGCUGGUGGGAGGGGAUCGGGGCCGCAGAGACCAGGGGGAAGCGACUGUUUACUAAAAACACAGGUCCGUGCGAAGUCGCAAGACGAUGUAUACGGACUGACUCCUGCCCGGUGCUGGAAGGUUAAGAGGACCGGUUAGCCGCAAGGCGAAGCUGAGAAUUUAAGCCCCAGUAAACGGCGGUGGUAACUAUAACCAUCCUAAGGUAGCGAAAUUCCUUGUCGGGUAAGUUCCGACCUGCACGAAUGGAGUAACGACUUCCCCGCUGUCUCAACCAUAAACUCGGCGAAAUUGCAGUACGAGUAAAGAUGCUCGUUACGCGCAGCAGGACGGAAAGACCCCGAGACCUUUACUAUAGUUUGGUAUUGGUGUUCGGAGUGGCUUGUGUAGGAUAGGUGGGAGACGUUGAAGCCCGGACGCCAGUUCGGGUGGAGUCAUCGUUGAAAUACCACUCUGGUCACUUUGGACAUCUAACUUCGGCCCGUAAUCCGGGUCAGGGACAGUGCCUGAUGGGUAGUUUAACUGGGGCGGUUGCCUCCUAAAAAGUAACGGAGGCGCCCAAAGGUUCCCUCAGCCUGGUUGGCAAUCAGGUGUCGAGUGUAAGUGCACAAGGGAGCUUGACUGUGAGAGAGACAUCUCGAGCAGGGACGAAAGUCGGGACUAGUGAUCCGGCGGUACAUUGUGGAAUGGCCGUCGCUCAACGGAUAAAAGGUACCUCGGGGAUAACAGGCUGAUCUUGCCCAAGAGUCCAUAUCGACGGCAUGGUUUGGCACCUCGAUGUCGGCUCGUCGCAUCCUGGGGCUGGAGUAGGUCCCAAGGGUUGGGCUGUUCGCCCAUUAAAGCGGUACGCGAGCUGGGUUUAGAACGUCGUGAGACAGUUCGG